UGGCGGCGUGCCUAACACAUGCAAGUCGAGCGGGGACAUACGGCGGAACCAAAGUUUCGGAUGGAGGUGAAGAUGUAUGUUCUAGCGGCGGACGGGUGAGUAACGCGUGAGCAACCUGUCCCUUACAGGGGGAUAACACAGCGAAAGUUGUACUAAUACCGCAUGAGACCACGGGGAGACAUCUUUCAGGGGUCAAAGGAGCAAUCCGGUAAGGGGUGGGCUCGCGUCCGAUUAGAUAGUUGGUGAGGUAACGGCCCACCAAGUCGACGAUCGGUAGCCGACCUGAGAGGGUGAUCGGCCACAUUGGGACUGAGACACGGCCCAAACUCCUACGGGAGGCAGCAGUGGGGAAUAUUGGGCAAUGGGGGGAACCCUGACCCAGCAACGCCGCGUGAGGGAAGAAGGUUUUCGGAUCGUAAACCUCUGUCCUUGGUGAAGAGGAAGAGACGGUAGCCAAGGAGGAAGCCCCGGCUAACUACGUGCCAGCCGCCGC
rnacentral:rRNA from 1 species